rnacentral:rRNA from 1 species
ACAAUGCUGAGGCGUUAACUGCGCCUCAGUUGAUAGUACCAGAAGAGGAAGAGACGGCUAACUCUGUGCCAGCAGCCGCGGUAAUACAGAGGUCUCAAGCGUUGUUCGGAUUCAUUGGGCGUAAAGGGUGCGUAGGCGGCGCCGUAAGUCAGGUGUGAAAUUUCGGAGCUUAACUCCGAAACUGCAUUUGAUACUACGGUGCUUGAGGACUGGAGAGGAGACUGGAAUUUACGGUGUAGCAGUGAAAUGCGUAGAGAUCGUAAGGAAGACCAGUGGCGAAGGCGGGUCUCUGGACAGUUCCUGACGCUGAGGCACGAAGGCCAGGGGAGCAAACGGGAUUAGAUACCCCGGUAGUCCUGGCAGUAAACGGUGCACGUUUGGUGUGGGAGGAUUCGACCCCUUCUGCGCCGGAGCUAACGCGUUAAACGUGCCGCCUGGGGAGUACGGUCGCAAGAUUAAAACUCAAAGAAAUUGACGGGGGCCCGCACAAGCGGUGGAGUAUGUGGCUUAAUUCGAUGCAACGCGAAGAACCUUACCAGGCCUUGACAUGCAUUGUGUCGGCGGUGAAAGCCGCCUAGUCCCGAAAGGGACGCCUUGCACAGGUGCUGCAUGGCUGUCGU